rnacentral:tRNA from 1 species
GGGGCUGUAGCUCAAUGGUGGAGUGCUUGCCUCACACACAUGAGGCAUUGGGUACGAUCCUCAGCACCA